rnacentral:rRNA from 1 species
CCUACGGGUGGCAGCAGUGAGGAAUAUUGGUCAAUGGGCUCGAGCCUGAACCAGCCAAGUCGCGUGAGGGAUGAAGGUUCUAUGGAUCGUAAACCUCUUUUGUAAGGGAAUAAAGUGUGGUACGUGUCCUAUUUUGUAUGUACCUUAUGAAUAAGGAUCGGCUAACUCCGUGCCAGCAGACGCGGUAAUACGGAGGAUGCGAGCGUUAUCCGGAUUUAUUGGGUUUAAAGGGUGCGUAGGCGGGCAUUUAAGCCGGCGGUAAAAUGGCGGGGCUCAAACCCGGCCUGCCGUAGGAACUGGGUGCCUUGAGUGGGCGAGAAGUAUGCGGAAUGCGUGGUGUAGCGGUGAAAUGCAUAGAUAUCACGCAGAACCCCGAUUGCGAAGGCAGCAUACCGGCGCCCUACUGACGCUGAGGCACGAAAGUGUGGGUAUCGAACAGGAUUAGAUACCCUAGUAGUC